AUGAAUUUAGUAUAAAAAUAUACAUUAGAUUUAGAUUCUAAAGAUAAAAGAUUCAUUAUAUUUCAUA
rnacentral:tRNA from 1 species